GAGCGGUUAGCUCAGCCGAUAGAGCGUUGGACUUUUAAUCCAACGGUAAAGGGUUCAAGGCCCCUUAUCGAGCU
rfam:Ciona savignyi cont_31103, whole genome shotgun sequence.